rnacentral:tRNA from 1 species
GACUGGCUGGCUCAGUGGGAAGAGCAUGUGACUCUUGAUCUCGGGGCUAUGAGUUCAAGCCCCAUGUUGGAUU